UGUUGGGGAUCCUAGGAGUUCAAACUACCAAAACAACGAUCAACAAACAAGAUUCAAAGCAAAAAACAAGAAAAUAAAAGUGGAAGAAUACAACCCCUUCUUUGGCCGGAAUCUGUCCAGCUUCUUCUUCUUCUGCCGGCAGCUUCUUCUUCACCUCUUAUGGCAGUUUUUCAGGCUCAGGAACAGCCCCAUGCUAUGCAAAUUGCCUUCCAAAGAGAGAGGGGAAAAAUCCAAUGAAGAACCACCACCCUUUUGU
rnacentral:lncRNA from 1 species